UACGUAGGGGGCUAGCGUUGUUCGGAAUCAUUGGGCGUAAAGGGCGUGUAGGCGGUCUGUUAAGUCAUGUGUGAAAGUCACAGGCUCAACCUGUGAAUGCCGCUGGAAACUGUCUGGCUAGAGUCCGGAAGGGGCGAGUGGAAUUACCGGUGUAGCGGUGAAAUGCGUAGAUAUCGGUAGGAACACCAGUGGCGAAGGCGGUCUCCUGGGGCAUUCUUGACGCUGGAGGCGCGAAAGCUGGGGGGAGCGAACGGGG
rnacentral:rRNA from 1 species